GGGUAAAAACUGAACGGGGCACCUUGGAGAAGUGAAAAAUUCGUCAUACUUUAUAAAAAAGUAACGAAUUGUAUUAAAAUUGAAUAAAGCUUUGUUUAUAUACCGAUAAUGACGGUAUAUAUAUUGUGUCUUGACCAAUUACGUGCCAGCAGUCGCGGUAAUACGUAAGAGACUAGUGUUAUUCAUCUUAAUUAGGUUUAAAGGGUACUUAGACGGUCAAUAUAUCAUAUAUGAUAGUACUUGACUAGAGUUUUAUAUAAGAAGGCAGUACUUGAGGUGGAGAGAUGAAAUUCAAUGAUACCAAAGGGACUCGGUAAAGGCGCAGGCAGCCUUUUAUGUAAUAACUGACGUUGAAGGACGAAGGCACAGAUCACAAAAAGGAAUAGUAUCCCCAGUAGUCUUUGCAGUCAAUGAUGAAUGCCAUAGGUUAGAUUUAAGAUUUUGAGUAUUUAUUCCUCAGUAAAGAAUAAGUUUCGAAACGAUAUUUAGUCUAUAAAUGAAAGUGUAAGCAUUUCACCUCAAGAGUAAUGUGGCAACGCAGGAACUGAAAUCACUAGACCGUUUCUGACACCAGUAGUGAAGUAUGUUAUUUAAUUCGAUGAUCCGCA
rnacentral:rRNA from 1 species